rnacentral:rRNA from 1 species
AGUGAACGCUGGCGGCGUGCCUAAUACAUGCAAGUCGAACGGAAUUUAAAAGAGCUUGCUCUUUUAAAUUUAGUGGCGCACGGGUGAGUAAUAUAUAGCUAAUCUGCCCCUUGCUGGAGGACAACAGUUAGAAAUGACUGCUAAUACUCCAUACUCCUUUUUACCAUAAGAUAAAUCGGGAAAGAAUUUCGGCAAGGGAUGAGACUAUAUCGUAUCAGCUAGUCGGUGGGGUAACGGCCUACCGAGGCUAUGACGCGUAACUGGUCUGAGAGGAUGAUCAGUCACAUUGGAACUGAGACACGGUCCAAACUCCUACGGGAGGCAGCAGUAGGGAAUAUUGCGCAAUGGGGGAAACCCUGACGCAGCAACGCCGCGUGGAGGAUGACACUUUUCGGAGCGUAAACUCCUUUUGUUAGGGAAGAAUAANGAC